rnacentral:rRNA from 1 species
GACGAACGCUGGCGGCGUGCUUAACACAUGCAAGUCGAACGGAAAGGCCCUGCUUUUGUGGGGUGCUCGAGUGGCGAACGGGUGAGUAACACGUGAGUAACCUGCCCUUGACUUUGGGAUAACUUCAGGAAACUGGGGCUAAUACCGGAUAGGAGCUCCUGCUGCAUGGUGGGGGUUGGAAAGUUUCGGCGGUUGGGGAUGGACUCGCGGCUUAUCAGCUUGUUGGUGGGGUAGGGGCUUACCAAGGCUUUGACGGGUAGCCGGCCUGGGAGGGUGACCGGCCACCUUGGGACUGAGAUACGGCCCAGACUCCUACGGGAGGCAGCAGUGGGGAAUAUUGCACAAUGGGCGGAAGCCUGAUGCAGCAACGCCGCGUGCGGGAUGACGGCCUUCGGGUUGUAAACCGCUUUCGCCUGUGACGAAGCGUGAGUGACGGUAAUGGGUAAAGAAGCACCGGCUAACUACGUG